AGACGCACAACAUCAACCAUGUGUGAAUGAUGAGAUCUCAUCCAUCACAUCAGUUGAACAAAAGUUGGAAAUCCGCGAAACAGCGCAUGUGAGGCCCAGUCAUUUGAGCCGGUAAGAAAAAAAAGAUAUAGUGUUCCACUUCAUUGUUCCCUAGCUGUAGAGUUGUUGGAGAAAACCCUG